AUCAUUUUUAUCUACUUAAGAGUCACUGUAUCCUCUUGGUUUAAUUUAAAGUUUUGAUCAUAAUAAACUUUUCUUAGGUCUAAGAGAGCAAGAGCAAUAAUCAUUCAUCCUUAACCUUUGUGUGGAAUGAAGAAUAAUUCUCAUUUAACUUCAUAAAAUUGAUAAAGGAAAUAAGAAAAGAUAAUUUCUGAUUCAAGUAGAAUCCAAAAGUAAUCUGAGAGCAAUUAAAGGUCUUGGUGAGGAACAUGAAUGUUGAAAUGGAAGAAAUGUGGAUUUGAUUGCCAGUUCUACCCCUCACAAGUUCUGUGCUUUGGGGUGAUUUCAGAAUUUCCCAUAUAAUUCCAAAAGUCCAAGAUUCU
rnacentral:lncRNA from 1 species